rnacentral:rRNA from 1 species
GAUCCUGGCUCAGGAUGAACGCUGGCGGCGUGCUUAACACAUGCAAGUCGAGGGGAAACGACAUCGAAGGCUUGCUUUUGAUGGGCGUCGACCGGCGCACGGGUGAGUAACGCGUAUCCAACCUGCCCAUCACUUGGGAAUAACCUUGCGAAAGUAAGACUAAUACCCAAUGAUAUCCCACGAAGGCAUCCGAAUGGGAUUAAAGAUUUAUCGGUGAUGGAUGGGGAUGCGUCUGAUUAG